UACGAAGGGGGCGAGCGUUGUUCGGAAUUACUGGGCGUAAAGGGCGCGUAGGCGGCCAUGCGUGUCUUCCGUGAAAUCCCUCGGCUUAACUGAGGACGUGCGGAAGAAACUGCAAGGCUCGAGUCCGGGAGAGGGGGGUGGAAUUCCCAGUGUAGCGGUGAAAUGCGUAGAUAUCUGGAGGAACACCGGUGGCGAAAGCGACUCACUGGCCCGACACUGACACUGAGGUGCGAAAGCUAGGGUAGCAAACGGG
rnacentral:rRNA from 1 species